rnacentral:tRNA from 1 species
GGAGAGAUGGCCGAGCUGGUCGAAGGCGCUCGACUCGAAAUCGAGUAGACUGUUAGUAGCGGUCUCUAGGGUUCGAAUCCCUAUCUCUCCG